rnacentral:rRNA from 1 species
GACGAACGCUGGCGGCGUGCUUAACACAUGCAAGUCGAACGGAAAGACCCUGCUUUUGUGGGGUGCUCGAGUGGCGAACGGGUGAGUAACACGUGAGUAACCUGUCCUUGACUUUGGGAUAACUUCAGGAAACUGGGGAUAAUACCGGAUAGGAGCUCCUGCAGCAUGGGGGGGGUUGGAAAGUUUCGGCGGUUGGGGAUGGACUCGCGGCUUAUCAGCUUGUUGGGGGGGUAGUGGCUUACCAGGGCUUUGACGGGUAGCCGGCCUGAGAGGGUGACCGGCCACAUUGGGACUGCGAUACGGCCCAGACUCCUACGGGAGGCAGCAGGGGGGAAUCUUGCACAAUGGGCGGGCGCCUGAUGCAGCAACGCCGCGUGCGGGAUGACGGCCUUCGGGUUGUAAACCGCUUUCGCCUGUGACGAAGCGUGAGUGACGGUAAUGGGUAAAGAAGCACCGGCUAACUACGUG